CCGUGUUUUCGUUUUUAGAACGAAAUUGGACGACAUCGGCAUGGCUGGCAAGGGCCAUCGUUCUAGCGAAGACACCGUGGAGUAUUAUCUGUUUCCGUCCAUUCCAAACCGAAUAGGAGACGAUGGAGUUCAGACAUACCUCGAGGAACAAGUUGACAUUUUCCUAGCUCAUUUGAGCCCGUUCCUGGUCGAAUAUAUUUGGCAAUGCGAACCAUUUACUCUGUGCCCCGUUGUAGGGAAAGGUAACCUUCCCCCUCACCUGUAUGGCAGCACCAGCUUCGGCGAGAAUAUCGACGACGAAUGGUUGAUCGUGUACCUCUUGUUCAGGCUGUCCAGGGCGUACCCAAACCUUGUCAUCAAGGCGUCAGACAAUGACGGAGAGUUCUUGCUAAUAGAGGCUGCUGAAGCUCUGCCAAAAUGGCUGACACCAGAGACGUCCGACAACAGGGUGUACAUCUAUCAGGGAGAUAUACACAUUAUACCUAUCCCACAAACCCCAGCCGAGAUGAUGGAGCUCCCGCUGUUUGCUCCAGACAUCCCGGACGGUGUCAAGUGUAUACGUGAACACACCAGCCUCACUCGGGCAUCACCGCAGAUACAGCGAUACAUCUUCUCACGGCUCAGCUGCUUCCCUGAAAAAAUUAAAGAAAAUGUCCAUCGCGCCAACUGCUACAUCCCAGCGAAACUGGUACCGGUGUUACGGCGAAAUCCUGCCCUGAUUGCGCCUGCCGUGCAUGCCUUCUACUACCGAGACCCUAUAGACCUACAGGCUUGUAGAACGAUGCAGAUAUUUUCGCCGACUGAUCAAGUUCUAUCACGGGUGAAGUUGACUCGCUGCCUGUAUGCCCAGCUAAUGCACCAGCAGUUCACCCCGGACAAGAGGAGCGGAUACACAUUGCCCACCACAUCCAAUCCCAAAUUCCAGUCACAUGACCUGGGCGUGAAACUGGCUCAUGGCUUUGAGAUCCUGUGUACCAAGUGUUCCAGUGGUCCUCGUAUGGGUGUCAAUGGUCACUCAGCUCCAUCUGACCGGGAUGUACGAUGGCAGAGGUACCUCAAGUCACUCAACAUGAGUGGGUAUUUCAGGGAUGAGGUGACAGGGUCCAAGUUGUAUACAGAGUUGCUUGCGGAGGCUCGGAAGUUCUACAUGGAACAGCUGCAGAUCAGCAACAGUGGUUCCUUCAGGGCAAGCCCUGGGGAGGAGGUGCUGGACCUGGUGGGCAGUACCAGCUAUGACCUGGAUAGUCUUCGUAGACAGGAGAAAACGCUGCCCGCACCUGAUGAUGACAGCUGGUUGAACCUGACCCCAGAGUCUCUGGAUGAGAUCCUGAAGAAAGCAUCAGGGAGGUCCGACCCAGACGCCUUCGACAUGAGCAAGGUGGCAGACUCCAUGAAGACAUUUGUAGGCCAUGUAUCCGGCGUAGAUGGAGCAGAGUUUCCACAAGAGUCGGAAGAGGGAGAGAUACAGUUUGAGAGCACAGGCUUCAUCCAUGCCAUGCAGAAAAUGUUUGAAUUCAAUGAUGAUGAUGAUGCAUCCAGCUCUGAUAUGAGUGAAUACGAUUGGGAUGACAGUGAUGAUGAUCUCGAUUCACCGCCUAAGCACUCUCCAUCCAAGAGGCCCCAGAGGAAGAAGUCCCCCAAGAAAACUGCUCCGCGGCCAGAUCCCAAGAUACAGAGUGUGAUGGAAAUGAUGGAUAGCGAGCUUGCACAGACCAACGUUGGGAAGAGCUUUGAGAGAGAAACAGUAAAACAGAAUGGGAAUACCAAACCAAAACCACAGCGUCCAAAACAGCCACCACCACCGCGCCCUUCACUUUCACAUUCUUCCCGACCUUCACCCCCAGCUAGACCUUCACCUCCAGCUCGACCUUCACCCCCACCGCGACCAUCACAACGACCUCCCCAGCGCCCACCACCAAGGCCUAACAACACCCCGACAUCCAGCCCCAGGAAGCACCAGCGAGACAUUGAGGACGAAGAUGAUGGUUUUGUGCCUGUUAACAUCAAUCUGAAUGUUGUCAAGAACACUUUGGAGUCCUACAGUGCCCAACAGGGGCUUCCAGGCCCUGCUUCCAACAUUCUACACAGCAUGGGGGUCAGACUGCCUCCUAAUGCAGAUGCCUUGUAAUAUGAAGCCUUUUAGAACACACCUGUUUUACAUAAUGAAGGUAUCUGGUCUCUCUUGGUACAGGUGCCUUGUAAUGGGAAUCCUUGUAGACCACCUGCUGUUUCACAUAAUGAAGGUAUCAAGUCAUCUUGUAGAGAUGCCUUGUAAUGGGAAUCCUUCUACAACUCCUGCUGUUUCACAUAAUGAAAGGUGUGUCUGUUUUCUUAGUACAGAUAUCUUGUGAUGUUAAGGACGUUAGGUUCUGGGCCCAACAUUAUACCCAGGGUCAAACUGUCCCCAGUUUGAUGCCUUGUCAUAACAUGGUAGGGAUGUGAAGUAUCUUUCUCCCAGUGUUUAUAUUCAUUCAAGGGUAGGGAGUCUCAUGACCUUGAUGCUGAGUCCUUGUCAUGGGAAUUUAAGAUUGUUUGGUCUCUUAAUGUUCUACACAGUAGAGUGUUCAUUACUCUCGGUGCCAAAUGACUUCCGGGUAUGUUGAAAACAUCAGAGUCAAUCUGGUCGUCAGAGACACAAGGUGACAGAGUUACUGAGCCAGGGCUAGUAAAUAUCCCCAGUGUAUACAAUUGUUACAACACACUUUACAUGGAUCACUACAUGUUAUUCAGUGAUUAUACCACUCCUUUCGCAUGUAGACCAGCAUCUUGGUAGGCACCUUAUACAGUAAAACCUCAGUAGUCUGAACGCUUUUGUACAAGGACCCUCGUUUUGUUGACAAUUACAGUUAGAAAUUCAAUGAUUGACUAGCUGACCACCUGAUGUAUUUACUUACCUCCUUAUGACAUUCAUGAGCUGCUGGGGACCUGUAUUCGCACCCAGAAUACUAUCAGAAAUGGAAAAAGCAAACACAUUAUUCUUUACCAAUUGUUUGAUAAACCAGAUGAAUUCUUUAUAAACAUUAGUCUGGAUUACUGAGGCUUUUCUAUAUAUGACAACACAGCACUUGUAUAUAUAUCUUGAAUCAUCUGUUGCCCAUGUUUGAAAGUAUGCUGUGAGCACACAGACCAACUACCUCCCUCACUGAAGAUCUCCUGGUAGAUGCCGCUACAGUGUAUAAUAGCCCAGUUACUACAGUGUAUUAUAGCCCAGUUACUACAGUGUAUAAUAGCCCAGUUACUACAGUGUGUAAUAGCCCAGUUGCUCUGGGUGAGUCUAUAGUAUUAGUUGUUAUCCAGCCUGAUUCUGCUGUGCACCUGCAAACAUGGCUAGUAGUUGUGAACAGCUAGUAUUGGUAUGAUUACGCCACUUAUUGCUAAGCAGGAAUUGGCUCUGUUUAUUUAAGAUGUAAUGCAUUACAAAUAUACUCUAUCUGCAGCAGUAGCAUUAAGCCAUUAUGUCAGAGGGUUCUACUGUUUCAGUCCUUGUGCCUGUUGUGUGAUCAGGUUUAUGUCAACUCAGUGAAGGAUACGUAGGUUUGUGCUGCCUCGCUGACAGGGUUGUGUCUGACUGGUGUGGGACAGAUAUUGUCAUAUAUGAGAAGAGGAUUUUUCUGUUAUGUUUCAAAGGAUCUUGCAUAUACUACUCAAAAUAUGAUAAGAACUCACUACAUUUUCAAAAAAACUGUUAUUGUAUGAAAGAGUACCCAGGAUUGUAUGAACAAAUUGUAUGUUUUUUUUAACUUCAUUAGAGUAGUAGACCUGUGGAGGGGGAUUUGUUGCUUGCACUGUAAGUUCAGUAAAAACAGAUUAGAUUUUGCAAGCUUUUGAAGCAAGUUUCUGUUUUGAAUAAUUCAUGUUAUACUUGGAAUUAUGUAAAAAUAUCAUGCAUUAAAACAAAAUACAGUUCCAACUGAAUCAUGUACAAAUAUUGCAGGAAGUGUCUGUUGUUACAUGUCUUUAACAUUUGCUAUGAUUGCAGUUGGUAGGUCCUUAAUCCUACCACUACCUGUGUGUAGCACCUUGCAUAGUUGAAACAUACAGGGUGGUGGGGUAGCCUAGUGGUUAAAACAUGCGCUCGUCACGCUGAAGACCCGGGUUUGAUUCCCCACAUAGGUACAAUGUGUGAAGCCGAUUUGUGGUGUUCCCCGCUGUGAUAUUGCUGGAAUAUGCUAAAAGCGGCAUAAACUCAUACUCACACACUCACAUACAAAAAUGAACAGACUGUUGAUGUGGGCAGGUAGUUACACUACAUAAUCAUUGUGUUAUGUAUAUUGAACUGAUUUGAAUGGCCCUGUUGAAUAUAAGGAUGUCUGGUGUUCAAGGUUGUGUUAUUUGCUAUU
rnacentral:misc_RNA from 1 species